GACGAACCGUGCGAACGUUGUUCGGAAUCACUGGGCUUAAAGGGCGCGUAGGCGGCAGUUCAAGUCCGGGGUGAAAUCCUCCAGCUCAACUGGAGAAGUGCCUUGGAUACUGGAGUGCUCGAGGGAGGUAGGGGUCGAGGGAACUUCUGGUGGAGCGGUGAAAUGCGUUGAUAUCAGAAGGAACGCCGGUGGCGAAAGCGCUUGACUGGACCUCUUCUGACGCUGAGGCGCGAAAGCUAGGGGAGCAAACGGG
rnacentral:rRNA from 1 species